CCUACGGGAGGCAGCAGUGGGGGAUAUUGCACAAUGGACGAGAGUCUGAACCAGCCAAGUAGCGUGAAGGAUGACUGCCCUAUGGGUUGUAAACUUCUUUUAUAUGGGAAUAAAACGUUCCACGUGUGGGAUUUUGUAUGUACCAUAUGAAUAAGGAUCGGCUAACUCCGUGCCAGCAGCCGCGGUAAUACGGAGGAUCCGAGCGUUAUCCGGAUUUAUUGGGUUUAAAGGGAGCGUAGGUGGAUUGUUAAGUCAGUUGUGAAAGUUUGCGGCUCAACCGUAAAAUUGCAGUUGAAACUGGCAGUCUUGAGUACAGUAGAGGUGGGCGGAAUUCGUGGUGUAGCGGUGAAAUGCUUAGAUAUCACGAAGAACUCCGAUUGCGAAGGCAGUUCACUGGACUGCAACUGACACUGAGGCUCGAAAGUGUGGGUAUCAAACAGGAUUAGAUACCCCUGUAGUC
rnacentral:rRNA from 1 species